rnacentral:rRNA from 1 species
GUGGGAGCCGGUGACUGC